GGAGAGAGAGUUUUAUAAUUAAUUUUAGUUCUCUUCAAUAAAUUUUAUUCUUCAAAUUUUUUAUUAUUUCAAGAGAUUGAAUUUCGAAGAUUCAAGCUCUACAUUUGCCUGUACGUUCGUGUCUAAGUUUGUGAUCCCAACAAUAAGACGCAAGGAAGCGCAUUAAGACCGUUGGUCAGCAGUAAUCCGUCCUAGCACAUAUAGAUCAAUGCUACACGCCACACUGUUUUGUGGCAAUCGGUGCGGGUGGAGCAUGGUAGGGAGGUAACACUAGUGUUGUUGUAUUUUCUUUAUUUAUUUUUUUGAUAGUCGAUGAUGAGUACUGCUGUUGUGGACUGAAUUUGUUUAACGGAUUUGCAUUAUUUAUUUCAUUUCUUACAAUUUUGGUUGUGAUAUUUCUUCCUUUCGGUUGAAAAAAAAUUCCUGUAUGUCUGUUCUCAUGUAUUUUUCUUGUAAAAACUUUUGCUUCAAUUCUUGUAAAAAAAAAAUAGUUUGCAAUGGUUAUUUGUAAAAUUUUCUCCUUCAAUUCUUCUUUGUUUCUCUCUGUGAGGAUCAUAUCUUUUGGCCCAUUCUGCAUUUGACUGUUAUUUCCAUUGACUGCCAUUAUGUACUUUCUUCUUUGUUUUGUUAAUGUCUUCAUUGACUCUUGUUAUAUGGAGAAAUAUUGGCGGCCCAAACCUACCAUUUGUAGAUUGUUUUGUCCCUUUAAUGUAUAUGACAAUAUACCCUUUCUGUGGAAAAUAGGGUACUGCCAAUGGUUAGGGUUUAACCAAAGUUGUCACUUUUGUAUGCUUUUACACUGUCCUUUGUAGAGAUUCCCAGACUUUUUUUGUGUAUGGUCAUUCAAGGCAUAUUAACUUCCCUUAGACGCCCCUUAUAUAUUCACCUUUCCUCUUUUGUUUUACCAUACAUUUUUGUGAUUUCUAUUGUUGUCUUGUUCUAUCUUUUGCUACUUUAUGUUCGGUUUUGAAUUUUUUUCCCAUAUUUGCAUCAUUGUCAAUUCGUGUUACCCUUCUUCUGCCUUGUUUUGUCUUAUGGAAUUCCUUUUACAAAUCUCUUGUCUGUAUGUAUGUUUCUGCCUUCUUUUCUCACGUAUGUUUGUGUCUUGGUUUCUCACCUACAUUCCAUAUUUCCUUAUUUGGUACUCAAUUAUGUUUUGGUGUAUUCUCAUGUAAGUUCUUUCCAUAUUUACAUAUUUCCAUACUCACGUAAAUUAUCGAUAUUCACUUUAUUUCAUGCCUUGCGUGCAUUCUUUGUCAUUUCAUUUGUCUGCUCAUAUGUUUUGUUCUAUGUUUUUCCUACCUCCUCAUUGAUGUUUCUACGACUAUGGAAUCUGGUUCAACUUAUUGAACCGAUUUAUUAACUCUGAGAAUGCUUAACAUAUAUUUUGAAAAAUGAUUUUUAUGCAUAAAAACUAUUCUUUUAAUAAUCAUCAUUGAAUUUUCAUUUCGGGUCCUUGCUUCUACGUACAAGGUAUGUAAUCCUUCCGUUUUAGAUUUAUUUCUCUUCACAUAUCCUGCAUUUAAAUUACUUGACUUGUUUUCGGUGUUUGUCGUAUCGUAACUUAUUUACUUUUCGUAUGCAGAAUGUUUGUGGUCAUCCCACCCUUGUAAGAGGUAUUAAGGAUUUGCCUUUGUUGUAGACUCAAAUUUCAUAUUGUAAAGUAUGCAAUUUCACACUAUUUGUAGCGUAUAAACUAUUGGUUUUGUAAUUAAUUUUGGUAUGGACAUUUCAUCUAUUUAAUAAAAAGCAUAUUAUUUUGUA